rnacentral:rRNA from 1 species
GAUAAACACUAGCGGCAGGCUUAACACAUGCAAGUCGAGGGGCAGCAUAGAUUGUUGCAAUACAAUUGGUGGCGACCGGCGCACGGGUGCGCAACGCGUAUGCAACCUACCCGUCACAGGGGGAUAAUCCGGAGAAAUCUGGUCUAAUACCCCAUAACAUAUGGAUCGGCAUCGGUUCAUGUUGAAAUUUUCGGAGGUGACGGAUGGGCAUGCGUAGCAUUAGCUUGUUGGUGAGGUAACGGCUCACCAAGGCGACGAUGCUUAGGGGGACUGAGAGGUUUUCCCCCCACACUGGUACUGAGACACGGACCAGACUCCUACGGGAGGCAGCAGUGAGGAAUAUUGGUCAAUGGGCGCAAGCCUGAACCAGCCAUGCCGCGUGCAGGAUGACGGCUCUAUGAGUUGUAAACUGCUUUUGUACGAGGGUAAAGUGGGUUACGUGUAACCUUUUGAAAGUAUCGUACGAAUAAGGAUCGGCUAACUCCGUGCCAGCCGCCGCCGUAA